UAUGGAGAGUAUCUUGAUAAAGAACUGUGAACCUUGUCAGGUCCGGAAGGAAGCAGCAAUAAGCAGACCUCUUUAUGUAGGGUGCUUUCCAUAGAG
rfam:Clostridium sp. CAG:245 genomic scaffold, scf7